UACGAACAUAUCACGUUGAAGCACCAGUUCCCGUAUAAUCACCGAAGUUAAUCAACGCUGAGCCCGGUCAGUAACUGGAUGGGUGACCUACUUGGGAAUACCAGGUGUUGUAAG